rnacentral:ncRNA from 1 species
AAUGGUAGAGGCGCAUCGAGCUAUCAGUAGCGGAUAUUAUUCAAGGCUUUCAGCAAGGCUUACGGUAUUCGUGAAAGGAGCCGUUGCCGAAGGCGGUUGAGGCUGAAGACCGUGCUGGUAUGUCGGAAUAAGAUCCGUCGUACUGUCGCUGAUUUUGCGGAGAGCUAUCUU